GUGCUCGCUUUGCAUAUAUACUAAAAUUGGAACAAUGCAGAGAAAAAUAGCAUGGUGCCUGGAAGAUAUGCAAAUUCAUGAAGCAUUCCAUAUUUUU
rnacentral:snRNA from 1 species